GCGGACGUGGCGAAAUCGGUAGACGCAAGGGACUUAAAAUCCCUCGGCCAUUGGCUGUGCGGGUUCGAGUCCCGCCGUCCGCACCA
rnacentral:tRNA from 1 species